rnacentral:rRNA from 1 species
AGAGUUUGAUCCUGGCUCAGAACGAACGCUGGCGGCAUGCCUAACACAUGCAAGUCGAACGAGACCUUCGGGUCUAGUGGCGCACGGGUGCGUAACGCGUGGGAAUCUGCCCUUGGGUUCGGAAUAACAGUUAGAAAUGACUGCUAAUACCGAAUGAUGUCUUCGGACCAAAGAUUUAUCGCCCAAGGAUGAGCCCGCGUCGGAUUAGCUAGUUGGUGAGGUAAAGGCUCACCAAGGCGACGAUCCGUAGCUGGUCUGAGAGGAUGAUCAGCCACACUGGGACUGAGACACGGCCCAGACUCCUACGGGAGGCAGCAGUGGGGAAUAUUGGACAAUGGGCGAAAGCCUGAUCCAGCAAUGCCGCGUGAGUGAUGAAGGCCUUAGGGUUGUAAAGCUCUUUACCCGGGAUGAUAAUGACAGUACCGGGAGAAUAAGCCCCGGCUAACUCCGUG